GAGUGGAAAAACUCCCUUGACGGUACUUAAUGAAUAAGCCCCGGCUAAUUAUGUGCCAGCAGCCGCGGUAAUACAUAAGGGGCGAGCGUUAUCCGGAAUUAUUGGGCGUAAAGGGUGCGUAGGCGGUUUAAUAAGUCUAUAGUUUAAUUUCAGUGCUUAACGCUGUUGUGCUAUAGAAACUGUUUUACUAGAGUGAGUUAGAGGCAAGCGGAAUUCCAUGUGUAGCGGUAAAAUGCGUAAAUAUAUGGAGGAACACCAGAGGCGUAGGCGGCUUGCUGGGACUUUACUGACGCUGAGGCACGAAAGCGUGGGGAGCAAACAGGAUUAGAUACCCUGGUAGUCCACACCGUAAACGAUGAGUACUAAGUGUCGGGUAAAACCGGUACUGAAGUUAACACAUUAAGUACUCCGCCUGAGUAGUACGUACGCAAGUAUGAAACUUAAAGGAAUUGACGGGACUCCGCACAAGCGGUGGAUCAUGUUGUUUAAUUCGAAGAUACACGAAAAACCUUACCAGGUCUUGACAUUUUCUUGCGAAGUUAUAGAAAUAUAAUGGAGGUUAUCAGGAAAACAGGUGGUGCAUGGUUGUCGUCAGCUCGUGUCGUGAGAUGUUAGGUUAAGUCCUAAAACGAGCGCAACCCUUGUCGUUAAUUGCCAGCAUGUAAUGAUGGGGACUUUAACGAGACUGCCAAUGAAAAAUUGGAGGAAGGUGGGGAUUACGUCAAAUCAUCAUGCCCCUUAUGAUCUGGGCUACAAACGUGAUACAAUGGUUGAUACAAAGAGUAGCUGAAACGCGAGUUCUUAGCCAAUCUCACAAAAUCAAUCUCAGUUCGGA
rnacentral:rRNA from 1 species